GACGAACCGAGCGAACGUUGUUCGGAAUAACUGGGCUUAAGGGCGCGUAGGCGGGCCGCCAAGUUCGAGGUGAAAUCCUCCGGCUCAACCGGAGAACUGCCUCGAAUACUGGAGGCCUCGAGGCGGGUAGGGGCACGCGGAACUGUGGGUGGAGCGGUGAAAUGCGUUGAUAUCCACAGGAACUCCGGUGGCGAAGGCGGCGUGCUGGACCCGAUCUGACGCUGAGGCGCGAAAGCCAGGGGAGCAAACGGG
rnacentral:rRNA from 1 species